rnacentral:rRNA from 1 species
UACGAAGGGGGCUAGCGUUGCUCGGAAUCACUGGGCGUAAAGCGCACGUAGGCGGCUUCUCAAGUCAGGGUGAAAUCCUGGAGCUCAACUCCAGAACUGCCUUUGAUACUGAGGGCUCGAGUCCGGGAGAGGUGAGUGGAACUGCGAGUGUAGAGGUGAAAUUCGUAGAUAUUAGGAAGAACACCAGUGGCGAAGGCGGCUCACUGGUCCGGUACUGACGCUGAGGUGCGAAGCGUGGGAGCAAACAGG